AAAUCCUAUAAAGCGCCAGGACUAAGCGAUGGAUACGUAAAGGAUCGUUUAGUUGACGAGGUGGAGGUUUAUCGAGUGUUCGGCGGAUGCCUCCCGGUUCGUAUGUGUCACCGGACCGAAAGUUUCUUUCUUAAAACGUUAAGGCAACUUAAUGUACAAAGGGAAGAAAAAAGUGACCU
rnacentral:ncRNA from 2 species